rnacentral:sRNA from 1 species
GGUUUGGUUGCGCAGCCGCGGGGGAAGGAGACGCUGCCCUUCCGCAGCGAUGGCAUCCCGGCUCUGUGGAGGGGCCCUCUGGUAUGUGUGUCCCUGCCCUUCUGGGGCGUGGAUGGUGCCUGGGACCCAGCUGGCAACCAGUUGAAGACGUUCUCCUUAGAAGCUCUUGGCCCUGAGGACUUUGCCUGGGGCAUUGGCCCUGCCAUGGCGUUCCGGAGGGCUGAGGGCACGUCUAUGAUCCAGGCCCUGGCCAUGACGGUGGCCGAGAUCCCCGUGUUCCUGUACACGACGUUUGGGCAGUCUGCAUUCUCACAGCUACGAUUGACGCCAGGCCUGCGGAAAGUCCUCUUUGCCACGGCCCUGGGGACUGUGGCCCUGGCCCUGGCUGCCCACCAGCUGAAGAGGCGACGGAGGAGGAAGAAGCAGGUUGGUCCCGAGAUGGGAGGGGAGCAGCUGGGCACAGUGCCCCUCCCUAUCCUCUUGGCCAGGAAGGUCCCUUCAGUGAAGAAAGAGUCUCACUCUGUUGCCCAGGCUGGAGUGGAAUGGCGCAAUCUUGGCUCACUGCAACCUCUGCCUCCCGGGUUCAAGGAUUCUCCUCCUCAGCCUACCAAGUAGCUGGGAUUACAAACAG